CUCAUUUUUUAGGGUUUUUCCCUUUCCUCUUCUCCAUUUCGGUGCCUCCAUUUCUGCUCUUCCCUUCCCUUCCCUUCCCAGUUUCAUUUUCUUUGUUCUUCGUUUGUUGUCCAUUGUUACAUACUUGUCUUCUUUUUUCCCGAUCUUCUGAAUCUCCUCACUAUUAAUUCGUCUCUUACUCCUUGUUUGGGGAUAUGGCUACAAAGCGCCACCAAUUACAGGUUUACGCUUGGCUGCUUCCACGCCAUCUUUGGCAACAAUGAAAUGAUUGUCGGUAUUCAGAGAAAGACGCGAUAGUGGUGGA